AUGCGCAGAAGGGUAACCAGACGGUUGCCGCCUACUUCGCCUCUCUCCGUGGCCUCGCCGAAGAGCUUGCUGCUGCGGGGAAGGCCAUCCAAGAUGACGAACUCAUCUCCUACAUCAUCCACGGCCUCGACGUCGACUACCAGCCCCUCGUCUCCGCCCUCGACGCAUGCGUCACGCCGGUCUCCCUCGACGAGCUCUACGCCAUGCUCAGCAACUUCGACCAGCGCAUGGCCCAGUUUAAUCACUCGGGCAGCGGUGGCUUCCGCUCCUCUGCCAACGCCGCGGUGCGUGGCCGUGGUGGUGGAUCACGUGGCCGUGGCUCCUCUCGCGCCAAGGGGCGAUCUGGCGGACACAGUGGUGGCGGCAACAGCGGCGGCGGCAACAGCCGCUCUGGUGCAUCUCGCGGUCGUCGUGGCGGCGGUCCACCUCGGGCCCGGCCGGAGCUGCCUCGCUGCCAAAUUUGCGGUAAGCCAGGGCACACCGCGAAGGAUUGCUGGUACCGUUAUGAUGAAGACGACGAGGACUCCCAAGAUGAAGAAAAAGUGGCUGCCGCGGCUGAUGGAUCCUACGGCAUCGACACCAAUUGGUACGUCGAUAGCGGCGCCACCAAUCACAUCACCAAUGAGCUUGAGAAGGUCACAAUGA
rnacentral:rRNA from 1 species